rnacentral:lncRNA from 1 species
GUGCGCAUUCGGCUAGGGCUGUCGAUAUUCUACCGGUCUUAAUGUCUCUUUUAUGCUCUUCGAGCCUCUGAUGCACCCUACAUACGCUGCCUCCAUUUUUCGUGCUGGAUACUUAACUGGUAUUGUAUAUACAUUGGAUCUCUCCAUGUCUGUCCUCCGGUCUUUUUUGUUGCGGAGCGUGUUAAAGAGGGAUGGUGGUCUCCUUGUAGAGAUUCUCAUUCCGGAUUUACGGAUAACAUCUCUUAUAGCGCCUGAUGUACUUAUAGGGUAUGGCACAACGGUAAUAUCAUCCUUGUGAGUUGUAUGAGGGUGAUUAUUAUAGGAAUUAUUUUGCAGGCUAGUUUUUACUUUCUGAUGUAAUCUAUUUAGGAACUUCUUAGCGUAUCCGUGUUCAUAUCCUAGGUGAUAUAUGAAUUUAAUCUCUUGAGCUAAUACGGAGUUGUCUGUCG